rnacentral:rRNA from 1 species
GAUGAACAUUGGCGGCAUGCUUAACACAUGCAAGUCGCACGCAACUUCGGUUGAGUGGCGCACGGGUGCGUAACACGUAGGUAACCUGCCCUGAAGUGGGGAAUAACCACGAGAAAUCGUGGCUAAUACCGCAUAGUCUCCGCAAGGAGUAAAGCAGUAAUGCGCUUUAGGAGGGGCCUGCGGCCUAUCAGGUAGUUGGUGGGGUAACAGCCUACCAAGCCGACGACGGGUAGCUGAUCUGAGAGGAUGGUCAGCCACAGGGGAACUGAGACACGGUCCCCACUCCUACGGGAGGCAGCAGUGAGGAAUAUUGGGCAAUGGGCGCAAGCCUGACCCAGCAAUGCCGCGUGCGGGACGAAGGUCUUCGGAUCGUAAACCGCUUUUGUGGGGGAGUAGCAAGGAGAGUACCCCACGAAUAAGUCACGGCUAACUACGUGCCAGCCGCCGCAGUAACAC